AGAUUUUGGUCAGGUUUCAUCAUAUAAAAAUAUAUCAAAGCAGCUGUCUACAGAAAAACAGAGUAUGGGCAGCACUGAGCUCCAGUUCUCUUAGCAGAUGUUCCAUUGUAAAAGCAUCCUAUUUAGGAUGAUAAGCAACAGAGGGGUUUCUAUGGUGCUAAGGAUACUUUUUGUGCUCAAUAGCAGCAGGAACUACUUGCUCUUUGGGGUGAAGCUGGCAGCCUCUGGCUAAAGAAACUAACUGGUCGCUGUCCAGAAUGCGAGAAUUUCAAAACAUAUGGUACCCAUAGAAAGGAUCUACCCACUUGCAACACAUUGAUUUAUCCUUAUUCCAUCUACUGUCUUCCAAAAAUCCCACAAUUGCUUUUAUUGCAAUUCAGCUCAGUUUCCUUCUCUGGAGGGAAAAUAUACGGCACUUUUGGAACAUAUGUGAGGCAAUGAUUCUGUUCCAAACUUCUGAAUUCUCCUUUAACCAUAGCCCAGGGAGUCAGCUAAGUUACCCAUAGGUACAGAGACACUUUCUCCAUGCUGCAUUUAUGGAUGUCCAGCAAGAAAGAGAGCACACACAUUUGAGGAAUAAGGAGGGGAAAGAGAGAUCUGACUCAGAGCUGCCUUGGAAGAGUCAGAUGAGGCACCAGGAGUACCCUAAACCUAUGGAGUUAACUUGUUUUAUUGGAGGUGAACAACUCAACCAAUGCAGGCAACGUUAACAACAACAACAAGAAGUAUAUGUUUGCAUCGUACAUCCAAUGACACGGUCAUAAACACAUGACUUCAAGACACCUCUUCUGAACCAUACCAUCCUCUAUGGGAGAUGAAAGAAGCAGGGCUUGUAGUCAUUUAGGAAAAGUAAGUCGAAAAUGCACAUCUAUGAGUUUAGCUAACAGUAGAUCUUUCCUUUCUUGGAUUCUACUUUUCUUAUUCAGAUAAAGUUAAAUCAUAGAAUCAUUAAGGCUGGAAAAAAUCACUAAGAUCAUGUAGUCCAACCAUCAGCCCAUCACCACCACGCCCGCUAAGUCAUGUCCCUCAAAGUUCUUCCCUCUAGUACACAGUCAUUUACCUGGGAGUUAUUUACUUUGCUAUUGACAGACAAGUAUACAAGAGACUGUGCUUUUCUUUCUACUGGAUACAGUCCUUCUGAGCUUCCAAAGAAAACUCCUCCCUGUAUCACCCACUGCACAUUCAGUUUGGGACUGUGACUUCUCUGAAAUAUCUUGCCGUAUAAUUUCUUGGAACAAAGGGGGAAGAACCUAAUGCCAUACACAUGGGAACAUGGCUACACAGAGAUAAUGCAUGUCUGCUUCAGACUUGUAACAGCAAGUGUUUUUUUUAUUGCUUUCAUAUCGAAAUGUCCAUAUAUGGGAUGUUACUGGAAAUCAUGUGACUUCCUGAGGUUUUGCUUCCAAUUCUUGUAAACACAUACAAGAAUUUCACUUUCUGAUUUCUGGAAACCAAAAGUGAGGUGCUUCUCAGUAAAUUUUUUGCCCUACAGAAACUAAUGUUCAUGUAAAUAAUCCUUCUAACCUGUGCUAAACUUUAAAAACUGCACUACUCAGCCACAGCCUGCCUUUGUAAAGCUUGGAUGCGCUGGCACGAAGGUCCCUUCCUUCUGUCUGGCAUGAAUCAGAGCACCUUGCAGCAGCUCUGAGAUGUGCUCUGAUCCCUGCAGCCAACGAUGGGCCCAACCACUGGCAGUGUUCCCCAAAGGAGCCUACAGAAUGAGUUGUUUGUGCCUCUCCUGCCCCCUUUCUACAGACCCGGAGAGCUGUCAGGACAUCGGAUUAACCGCAAAUAGGAAUCAAGUCCUGCCCCUGGAGUGACUAAGAGGCACGUCUAAGAUCAUCACAGACCUCAAGCAAAUACUGCAAAAGCCACGAUUAAGUCACUGAUGUGAAUGAGCUACCCUGCUGAAUCCUGCAGCCCCUUGUCUUGACUAUAACUCCUGCAAUCAACACAAGCAUCCAGAAUUAGGCCUCAAAACUGCACUGAAAGAAAAGGGCACAAAUGCGUGGUGCAAACAGCCCUUCUCCUCACUGUCAAAAUGCGAGGCUGCAAGGGAGAGCAGUCAGUUCUAAUGCAUGACCAGGAGCUGCUGUAAAAUUCCUUGCAGAAACAAGAGACCUAUUAUGUUUAUCACCAAUUUGCUAAGUAAGGUUAAUACUCUGGCAUUGACCCUGCCUCACAUGCCCUUAGAAGCACUACCAAGCUUUGUCCCACUAAGAUUUUACAGUAGAAGAGAUAACACGCAGUCAAUAACCCAUUUUAAACAGGUAGUUUUCUUUCCCCCCCUUCACCCUCAUGCCUUCGCAGCAGGGAAGAUAAUGCUCUCACCAAAGAACCUAUUUCCAGCGCCUGUAACCAGCUUAUGGCCAUGGAAACAGAGACCCAUCAGCCACUGUGGUCAGAUGAAUAGCCUCUGUGAAUAUCAACAUCAUCAUAAAUCAUUCAGUUGCUGAAA